UCCCUGAUGGUCCAGUGGCUAAAAAUCUGCACUCCCAAUGCAGGUGGCCUGGGUUUGAUCCCUGGUCAGGGAA
rfam:TPA: Bos taurus chromosome 5, whole genome shotgun sequence.